rnacentral:rRNA from 1 species
CCUACGGGGGGCAGCAGUGGGGAAUAUUGCACAAUGGGCGAAAGCCUGAUGCAGCAACGCCGCGUGAAGGAAGAAGGGUUUCGGCUCGUAAACUUCUAUCAACAGGGACGAAAGAAAUGACGGUACCUGAAUAAGAAGCCCCGGCUAACUACGUGCCAGCAGCCGCGGUAAUACGUAGGGGGCAAGCGUUAUCCGGAUUUAUUGGGUUUAAAGGGUGCGUAGGCGGACUGUUAAGUCUGCGGUAAAAGCUCGGGGCUCAACCCCGGCGAGCCGUUGAAACUGGCUGUCUUGAGAUGUCGAGAGGUAUGCGGAAUGCGCAGUGUAGCGGUGAAAUGCUUAGAUAUUGCGAAGAACUCCGAUUGCGAAGGCAGCAUACCGGCGGCGAUCUGACGCUGAGGCACGAAAGCGUGGGUAUCGAACAGGAUUAGAUACCCCUGUAGUC